rnacentral:lncRNA from 1 species
AUAAAGCAAGUCCUUAGAGACCUACAAAGAGACUUAGACUCCCACACAAUAACAAUGGGAGACUUUAACACCCCACUGUCAAUAUUAGACAGAUCAGCAAGACAGAAGGUUAACAAGGAUAUUCAGGACUUGAACUCAGCUCUGCAACAAGCAGGCCUAAUAGACAUCUACAGAACUUUCCACAGUUCUGAAGUCAACAGAAUAUACAUUCUUCUCAGCACCACAUCGCACUUAUUCUAAAAUUGACCACAUAAUUGGAAGUAAAACACUCCUCAGCAAAAGUAAAAGAACAGAAAUCACAACAAACUGUCUCUCAGACCACAGUGCAAUCAAAUUAGAACUCAGGAUUAAGAAACUCACUUAAAACCGCACAACUACAUGGAAACUGAACAACCUGCUCCUGAAUGACUACUGGGUAAAUAACAAAAUGAAGGCAGAAAUAAAGAUGUUCUUUGAAACCAAUGAGAACAAAGACACAACAUACCAGAAUCGCUGGGACACAUUUAAAGCAGUGUGUGGAGGGAAAUUUAUACCACUAAGUGCCCACAGGAGAAAGCAGGAAAGAUCUAAAAUUGACACCCUAAUAUCACAAUUAAAAGAACUAGAGAAGCAAGAGCAAACACAUUCAAAAGCUAGCAGAAGGCAAGAAAUAACUAAGAUUGGAGCAGAACUGAAGGAGAUAGAGACACAAAAAACCAUUCAAAAAAUCAAUCCAGGAGCUAGUUUUUUGAAAAAAUCAGCAAAAUAGAUAGACCAUUAGCAAGAUUAAUAAAGAAUAAAAGAGAGAAGACUCAAAUAGAUGCAAUAAAAAAUGAUAAAGGGGAUAUCACCACCAAUCCCACAGAAAUACAAACUACCAUCAGAUAAUACUAUAAAUACCUCUACACAAAUAAACUAGAAAAUCUACGAGAAAUGGAUACAUUCCUGGACACAUACACCCUCCCAAGACUAAACCAGGAAGAAGUUGAAUCUCUGAAUAGACCAAUAACAGGUUCUGAAAUUGAGGCAAUAAUUAAUAACUUAACAACCAAAAAAAGUCCAGGACCAGAUGGAUUCACAGCCGAAUUAUACCAGAGGUACAAAGAGGAGCUGGUACCAUUCCUUCCGAAACUAUUCCAAUCAAUAGAAACAAAGGGAAUCCUCUGUAACUCAUUUUAUGAGGCAAGCAUCAUCCUGAUAUCAAAGCCUGGCAGAGACACAACAAAAAAAGAGAAUUUUACACCAAUAUUGCUGAUGAACAUCAGUGUGAAAAUCCUCAAUAAAAUACUGUGAAACCAAAUCCAGCAGCACAGCAAAAAGCUUAUCCACCAAAAUCAACUUGGCUUCAUCCCUGGGAUGCAAGGCUGGUUCAACACAUGCCAAUCAAUAAACGUAAUCCAGCACAUAAACAGUUUUUUGGAUAGAAAGUAUAACAAGUAGCUAAUCACUGCAUUAUUGUAACAAAUAUCAAAGGAAUGUAUACUUAUAAAUUUGUUUAAAUAAUAGCUUUAUUAGGAGAAACUCAUAUACCAUAUAAUUCACCCACUUAAAAUGUAAAAUUUAAUGGUUUUUAGUAUAUUCGGAGUUGCGCAGUUAUCACUAAGACUCAUUUUGGAACAUUUUCAUUAUCUCAGAAAGGGAUUACAUACUCAUUAGCACUUACUCCCUAUUUCUCCAAUCCCACUCCACUCGCAGCCCUAGGCAACCACGAAUCUACUUUCUCUCUACUAAUUUGCCUAUUCUGGAUAUUUCCUAUACAUGAAAUCAGACAAUAUGUGAUCUUUUGCGACUGGCUUCUUUCAUUUAGCAUAAAGUUUUUUGUUUGUUUGUUUUUGAGACAGAGUCUCGCUCUGUCACCCAGGCUGGAAUGCAGUGGCAUUAUCUUGGCUAACUGCAACCUGCACCCCUAUGGUUCAAGCCAUUCAUGUACCUCAGCCUCCUGAGUAGCUGGGACUAUAGUAGCACACCACCAUUUCUGGCUAAUUUUUGUAGUUUUAGUAGAGAUAGGGUUUCACCAUGUUAGCCAGGCUCGUGUCGAACUCCUGGCCUUGAAUGAUCUGCCUGCCUCGGCCUCCCAAAGUGCUGGGAUUACAGGUAAGAGCCACUGUGCCCAGCCACAUUUAGCAUAAUGUUUUAAAGUUUCAUACCUGUUUUAGCAUGUAUCAGUACUUCAUUCCUUUUUAUUGCCAAAUAAUAUCCCAUUGUGUGGAUAUACCAUAUUUUAUUCAUCCAUUCAUCAGUUGAUACAAAAUUAGAUUGUUUCCAAUUUUUGCCUAUUAUGAAUAAUGUUAUGAACAUUUGUGAACAAAUUUUUGUAUACAUGUACGUUUUUAUUGCACUUCAAUAUAUAGCUAGGAUUAGAAUUGGUGGCCAUAUAACUCUGUGUUUAAUGUUUUAAGAAAUUUCCAGACUGUUUUCCAAAACGGCUGCACCAUUUUAUCUCUACCAGCAGUAUAUGAGGAUUUUAAAUUUUUCCACAUUUUUGCAAGGUCUUGUUAUUAUCUUCUCUCCUAGAUUAUAGUCACUCAGUGUGUGUGAUAUGGUAUGUCCAUGUGCUUUUGAUUUGCCUUUCCCUGAGAGCCAGUGAUGUUG